rnacentral:lncRNA from 1 species
AUGAGGAUUGUCAUGUUAAACUGGCUACCUCUGAAUGAAGUCCUCUUUCAUGAAUGCCAGUUUGAUACUACGCUGGACCUCAUAAGCAUGCCUCACACAGUGUGUGCACCUUUUCCACUUGGCAUAUGCCUGAUUGGCUUCUCAGAGAGAGCAGUGCACUUCCCUCCUCACCCAGCGGAUGCUGUGCUGCUACCUUUGGUGCCAUCCUCAAACCCUGCUCUGAACACGAACCCCGCAUUUCCUCAUAGACUUCUCAGAGAUCUGUUGACACUGUCCUAUUCAAGCAGAUGGAAAAAAUGAUGGCUGUGACAGAAAGGACAAGCUUCUUUCAAGUCUUUUUUUUUUCAAUAAGGUAAGAAAGAGAAAUCAUUUCAAAUAAAGUCAGCUUUUUUUUAUGUUUGAGAUGAGGG